rnacentral:rRNA from 1 species
UACAGAGGUCUCAAGCGUUGUUCGGAUUCAUUGGGCGUAAAGGGCUCGUAGGCGGUCUGUCACGUCGGGAGUGAAAACACGGGGCUUAACCCCGUGCCUGCUUCCGAUACGGGCAGACUAGAGGUAUGCAGGGGAGAACGGAAUUCCUGGUGUAGCGGUGAAAUGCGCAGAUAUCAGGAGGAACACCGGUGGCGAAGGCGGUUCUCUGGGCAUUACCUGACGCUGAGGAGCGAAAGUGUGGGGAGCGAACAGG